UAAUCUUAAAAAAAUUAAACUGCAAAUUUAAAUAAGAUUAUUAUAAUCUAAGAUUU
rnacentral:tRNA from 1 species